AAGCUCUGAGCGAGAAUUUUUUUGAGUCCAAGGAUGGACUGGCUUCUGAUACCAAUUUGUCAGAUCCCGGGAGGAAUCAGACAGAUAAACUCCCGAUGUGGAGACCCAAUCUAUGAAUUUUGGGGAUUUCUAAUCUAAGACAGGAAAUAAGGAACAGAUAACUAGGGUUUUUGCCUUUAGCAUAUUUCAUUAUCGAUAGCUCUGUCUUCCCACGAAGGGGGCUCAUAUAGCCAGUUUGGUUGUUCCCGUUAUUACAGACAGACAUGUAACAGUAAAAGGUGAAUAGUAAAUAUUCUUCCUGGAUGGUAAACAGUGACGUCAAAGAGCUGUUCCAUCUAGACCGUUGGCUCCGAAGAGAAGAGGAGGACCGUCGGAUCUCAUACUUAGGUGAAGUGUUAGCUUGUGUCUUGACCAUCUCCAGCUUCAGGAGCAGAGGAGCUGACAACUGCCCUUAAAGUAUGUAUAUCCAACUUCCAUAUGCCCUUGUUUUCAUUUUGGUUUGUAGGAUCUGCCAAGUAUUCAGGUUGAAUAAAACUGUAAUAAGGUUAAAUCAUGGCACGUGGGGAAUACACUCUAGCAGGUGGAAGCCCAAGCCAGCAGCAGGACAGCCUGCAGCUUAGCAGCAGUUUGGAUCGGAACCGAAGAUGUCCUGUUGGAUCCUGGACAUGUAUCAAGUCCGGAUUCACCCUAGAUUGAUAGGUUCAUAUCAUACUGGGAUUAGAAUUCAUAAGGUCUUAUUUCCUUUGCUUUGUGUUGCAAUCGCCAAUCUUUGUGAGGUUGAGGACUGUCUGCAAACACUAGCUUUAGAGGUUGUGGGCUUGAUUUGGCCCCACGCUUGGGCUACCUCCUCGGCUUGGCAGCGAUGAUGUCCAGCCUAGGCUUCAUGCUCUUCGGUGAACUACUAGUUCACCUUCAGUUUUCUGUCUCACAUGUGCUCUGUGAUUGGCGGUGAUGUUCGCCUCAGCUACAUAAUCUCCGCUUGUCAUUGAGGAGAUCUGUUGUGACCUCUAGCGUUGUGACCUGAUUGGAAGAUCACUGCCAGCCUAUGGCUGGGAGGCCGGCAGUCCCCUCCUCCAUGUCGCAAACUUGUCAUAGUGGCGCCACGUCGACAUGUUGUCCAAGCGUCCACCUCUGGUAAGAACAAUUCGUUUCUCGAAUCACCGGUUUCCCAAGCGAUGCAUACACAUGUUUCCUUCUCCCUAAGUUGGGAUGGUGGAUACAUGGAUGACCAAGUCUAGAGAUCUUCAAGCUUGUUUUAAAAAUACCCAAUGGCUAGCUUUGUUCAAAGUUAAACUGAUCUUUUUAUCAAUUUGUAAAAUGCAUUAUGUAUUACAGAGAGACUCUUGCAUAUAUCAUGCAUUUUCAUUACCCUUGUUUUACUGCCAACCAAGGUACAAAUGAUCUGUUGUCUAGUCAUUUGAGCCCAUCUGAGCCCGUAUACAUGACAAAUGAGAACUCUCCCAAAUGGAUUCUAUUCCUUUGGGAUCCGUUGUGUUGUCUUCAUUUUCCCCUGUCAUUUCUUUCGGGGUCACUAUCGGAUGGUUUAUGGCGGGCUGUUGUCAUUGUUUUCUCUUUGCAAAUUCCCUUUUUGCUUGCUGGUUGCUUGGCCUACUUUUUUCUUGUGAUGCUAUCUCUGCUGGAUCAUAUGUGGCGGUGGCCAUUGUUAUUGCUGACCUUGUGGGGUUGUGCUACGCUGGUCUGCUGUCUUUGUGGGGCUUUGUCAGUCGCUCAUGAGCCACUUUUUGCUUUAUGUGGAUUGUGUCUUCUUAUUAUUGGUAUUGUCUUUGAGUGAAUGUUGCCGGCUUUGUUCUGUUGUGUACUGCAAUUGGAGGAUUUUUUAUGCGUGGGGAUUUCCAUUCGUUGUUCUCGUAUUGGUCUAUGGUGUAACAAACAUGAAUCGUCUUGUGAAGCUUGUUAGAUUGGAGAGAUUUGUCCUGCUUCAGUUACUGAGGCUGUAGUUUUAUAAUCUGGUGAAGAAGUGAUCUUGUAUCUUUUCCGGUUCCAACUCACAUAAGGGUAUCCCUUACCUUACAAGAAGCAUCAAGGAACAACUAGAAAAUCUCCAUACCUUGAGCAAGAGAAACUAUGAGCUUACUGACCUUGAUGAUGUUGCCUCCUCUGGACUACGAGGACAAGAAGCUGCAGAACUUAUCCACGGAAUCUCAAGAACCUGAAUGAAGGAACUGAUGGACUAGUGGAAGAAGUCUGGCAUCGAUUUCCCCUGCGUGGGGUUGACCUCCAAGUGUGGGUGGAGCUCCAACAUGUAUAAGGUCAUGCAAGCUCUUAGACACGAGCAAGCAGGCAUGCGUACAUGCACGGCCUCGAGAUGAACCCAUCAUCAAGGACAAUGUCACCCAGGUGGACAGCUCAAUUUGCCAAACGCCGUUUUGUAUACUUGCUACCACAUAUAGCUGUCUAUGUACCUAGUUGUCCUGAACUAGCUAGCUCAAAGGUACCAGCUUGAUUGUAUAUAGAUGCUUGGUUUGCUUCUGGGUUUCGAUGUGUAGUAUGGAUACGCUCUGCAUUUGAUUAUAUGACGUUAAUUGAAAAAAGAAGGGUGGUUUGCUUUUGAGUCCAAUUUAA